rnacentral:rRNA from 1 species
GACAGAGGUGCCAAGCGUUAGGCGGAAUCACUGGGCUUAAAGCGUGUGUAGGUGGAUGUCUAAGUACCUUGUGAAAUCCCACAGCUCAACUGUGGAACUGCUUGGUAUACUGGAUGUCUUGAGCCACUUAGGGGCUACCGGAACAAAUGGUGGAGCGGUGAAAUGCGUAGAUAUCAUUUGGAACGCCAAUGGUGAACACAGGUAGCUGGGAGUGUGCUGACACUGAGACACGAAAGCCAGGGGAGCGAACGGG